CCUACGGGAGGCAGCAGUGGGGAAUAUUGCACAAUGGGGGAAACCCUGAUGCAGCGACGCCGCGUGAGUGAAGAAGUAUUUCGGUAUGUAAAGCUCUAUCAGCAGGGAAGAAAAUGACGGUACCUGAUUAAGAAGCCCCGGCUAACUACGUGCCAGCAGCCGCGGUAAUACGGAGGGGGCAAGCGUUAUCCGGAUUUACUGGGUGUAAAGGGAGCGUAGACGGGGGGGCAAGUCUGAAGUGGAAUGCCGGGGCUUAACCCCGGAACUGCAUUUGAAACUGUGGAGCUAGAGUGCAGGAGAGGCAGGGGGAAUUCCUAGUGUAGCGGUGAAAUGCGUAGAUAUUAGGAGGAACACCAGUGGCGAAGGCGGCUGACUGGACUGUAACUGACGGUGAGGCGCGAAAGCGUGGGGAGCAAACAGGAUUAGAUACCCGAGUAGUC
rnacentral:rRNA from 1 species